GUCGUGAGAUGUUGGGUUAAGUCCCGCAACGAGCGCAACCCUUGUCAUUAGUUGCUACAUUUAGUUGGGCACUCUAAUGAGACUGCCGGUGACAAACCGGAGGAAGGUGGGGAUGACGUCAAGUCCUCAUGGCCCUUAUGGGUAGGGCCUCACACGUAAUACAAUGGCCGGUACAGAGGGCUGCCAACCCGCGAGGGGGAGCUAAUCUCAGAAAGCCGGUCGUAGUCCGGAUUGUUCUCUGCAACUCGAGAGCAUGAAGUUGGAAUCGCUAGUAAUCGCGGAUCAGCAUGUCGCGGUGAAUACGUUCCCGGGUCUUGUACACACCGCCCGUCACACCAUGGGAGUGGGUUUCACCAGAAGUAGGUAGCCUAACCGCAAGGAGGGCGCUUACCACGGUGAGAUUCAUGACUGGGGUGAAGUCGUAACAAGGUAGCCGUAGGGGAACCUGCGGCUGGAUCACCUCCUUUCUAGAGUAUGUCUCUCGAUCAAGUGUCCACUCUUAUCGGCUGUAGCAAAGCAGGAUUCAGGAUGGUGGAUUGAGGAUUGAGUCAGGGUAAACGCUGAAACCUCAAUCCCGCAUCUUCAAUCCCGGAUCCUGAAAACAGGGUCUGUAGCUCAGUUGGUUAGAGCACCGUCUUGAUAAGGCGGGGGUCGAUGGUUCGAAUCCAUCCAGACCCACCAAUUAUCGGGGGUGUAGCUCAGUUGGGAGAGCGCCUGCUUUGCAAGCAGGAGGUCAUCGGUUCGAUCCCGUUCACCUCCACCAAGCUUUAUGAAGAGUCAGGAGCGAUGCAAGCGAGAACAAGAUUCUCCAGGCGUCGGUCUUCACUCCUUAUGAGUGAGCUGUAUUGAUCUUUAACAAAACGGAAGAAGUAAAGCGUUUCGAUUCUGUAAUCUGGAAUCGAAACACUGGGUUUGAUUGUAUCCCGCAUUCGACAUAUCAAAAGGGUCGGAUGCGGCACAAGCGCGUUGAAUAUUCCUGUAACCGUGGCUUUGGAGCAAUCCGAGGAUUCAGGGUUAUAGGGUCAAGCGAACAAGUGCAUGUGGUGGAUGCCUUGGCGAUCACAGGCGAUGAAGGACGUAGUAGCUUGCGUUAAGCUGCGGGGAGCUAGCAAACGAGCUUUGAUCCGCAGAUGU
rnacentral:sRNA from 1 species